UCCCAUAGNUNAACUAGGAACUGCNUUNAUACUGGUUGACUUGAGUAUACGGAAGUAGAUAGAAUAAGUANNGUAGCGGUGAAAUGCAUAGAUAUNANUUAGAANACNGAUUGNGAAGGCAGUNUACUACGUAUAUACUGACGCUCAUGGACNGAAAGCGUGNGGAGCGAACAGGAUUAGAUACCCUGGUAGUCCACGCCNUAAACGAUGGACACUAGUUGUUGGANUUAUUCAGUGACUAAGNGAAAGUGAUAAGUGUCCCACCUGGGGAGUACGAUCGCAAGANUGAAACUCAAAGGAAUUGACGNGGGCCCGCACAAGCGGUGGAGCAUGUGGUUUAAUUCGUUGAUACGNGNGGAACCUUACCAGGGCUUAAAUGUCAGNUGCAUUANUNAGAGAUAGCUAUUUNUUCNGACUUCUUACAAGNUGCUGCAUGGUCGUCGUCAGCUCGUGCCGUGANGUGUCAGGUUAAGUCCUAUAACGAGCGCAACCCUCGUCGUUAGUUGCCAGCAUGUAAAGAUGGGGACUCUAACGAGACCGCCGGUGUAAACCGCGAGGAAGGUGGGGANGNCGUCAAAUCAUCACGGCCCUUACGUCCUGGGCUACACACGUGCUACAAUGGUAUGGACAAUGAGCAGCCACUAUGCGAAUAGGAGCGAAUCUACAAACCAUAUCACAGUUCGGAUCGGAGUCUGCAACUCGACUCCGUGAAGCNGGAAUCGCUAGUAAUCGGAUAUCAGCCAUGAUCCGNUGAAUACGUUCCCGNGCCUUGUACACACCGCCCGUCAAGCCA
rnacentral:rRNA from 1 species